AACGAACGCUGGCGGCAGGCCUAACACAUGCCAGUCGAGCGGACCCUUCGGGGUUAGCGGCGGACGGGUGAGUAACGCGUGGGAAUAUGCCCUUCUCUACGGAAUAGUCCUGGGAAACUGGGGGUAAUACCGUAUACGCCCUUUGGGGGAAAGAUUUAUCGGGGAAGGAUUAGCCCGCGUUGGAUUAGGUAGUUGGUGGGGUAAUGGCCUACCAAGCCGACGAUCCAUAGCUGGUUUGAGAGGAUGAUCAGCCACACUGGGACUGAGACACGGCCCAGACUCCUACGGAAGGCAGCAGUGGGGAAUCUUAGACAAUGGGGGCAACCCUGAUCUAGCCAUGCCGCGUGAGUGAUGAAGGCCUUAGGGUUGUAAAGCUCUUUCAGCUGGGAAGAUAAUGACGGUACCAGCAGAAGAAGCCCCGGCUAACUCCGUG
rnacentral:rRNA from 1 species